GGUAGGAUCAUUAACACUAUCCGGGCUUUCUGCUCGGAAUUUUCAACAACCUGUUUGUACGUUGCUUUCAAUCACAUUUUAACCAAAAUUACACUUCAACUAAAGCAAAUAUACAACCAAAAUACAACUUUUAGCAAUGGAUAUCUUGGUUCCCACAACGAUGAAGAACGCAGCGAAAUGCGAUACGUAAUGCGAAUUGCAGUAUUCGUGAAUCAUCAAAUCUUUGAACGCAAGUUGCGCCCUCGAGAUAGCCUUGGGGGCAUGCCUCUUUGAGUAUCGGAUUCUAUAAUUUUCCUUUCCGGGGAAAGUGCAUGGGCUCGAGCAAAUUAUUUCGCUCUGGCUCCAAGUUCAGUUUGGUUGUGACAAUUUCUAUUGGGAUCAACAGAAAUGUAACCUGUCCAACCUUUUAAACAUAAUUAUAGAUCUCAAAUGAGGUAAGACUACCCGCUGAAUUUAAGCAUAUAAUUAAGCGGAGGAAAAGAAACUAACAAGGAUGGCAUCAGUAACGGCGAGUGAAGCUGCCAGAGCUCAAACCGAAAAUCUCUGUCCUUGGGCAGCGAGUUGUGGUCUAUUGAAGCGUGUCUCAGUGGCGGUUCCGGUCUAAAUCAGUUGGAACACUGUAUCAGAGAGGGUGAGAAUCCCGUCUUUGGCUGGGUUGACCGCCGCGUACGAGCCGUUUUCGAAGAGUCGGAUUGCUUGGGAGUGCAGUCCUAAGUGGGUGGUAAAUUUCAUCUAAAGCUAAAUACAUGUGGGAGACCGAUAGCGAACAAGUACCGUGAGGGAAAGAUGAAAAGAACUUUGAAAAGAGAGUUAAAAAGUACUUGAAAUUGCUGAGAACGAAGGGAUGGCGACUAGUAAUGGCCGGGGCGAUUCCAUUUGGUGUCGGCAGCCGUUUCCCAUGUGAAUUGCCUGUGCUUUCCUGGGAGGCGGUGCGCCGGGCCGAAUGAAUCGAAUUGCUCCGUGUCCAAGGUCAGAAUGGAUUCGCUUCCGUUGAAACCGCCGUUGGCAAGGUAGCUGCUGUUCGCAAGAAUGGCAGAACUUAUAGGCCGACGGUGUCGAACGGUCGUGGAUUGAGGCGCUGAAGCAUUCUUCGAGAUUCACCGGUCGCUGUUUUCCGUCCGCGUUUGGGGAACAAAGUUCCGUCUGCGUUGGGCGGUGGCACUCGGCUGGCUGAUCAUCUGUCUGCUCACGAUUCUGACGAAAUGGUCGUCAUUCACCCGUCUUGAAACACGGACCAAGGAGUCUUACAUCUAUGCGAGUAAUCGAGUGGAAAACUCGUUUGCGAAAUGAAAGUGAAUGAAUGUGACCCGUUUCACAACGGGGCAACAUCGGGCGGCUAAAAUAAUUGUACGACCAUGAGCAUAUCUGUAGGGACCCGAAAGAUGGUGAACUAUGCUUGAGCAGGAUGAAGCCAGGGGAAACUCUGGUGGAAGUCCGAAGCGAUACUGACGUGCAAAUCGUUCGUCUGACUUGAGUAUAGGGGCGAAAGACUAAUCGAACUAUCUAGUAGCUGGUUCCCUC
rnacentral:misc_RNA from 1 species